rnacentral:lncRNA from 1 species
AUACCACAAAAGGAAGGUUGGGAUAAUGUUGGGGAUGAUGGUUCCAACCGUUUACGAAAAAGGGGCAUAAAAGAAGCAUGUUUUUAGUUUUAGGAUAAUUACUUGUGUAUAAGAAUUUUGAUUGUUCUGAAAUUGUACCACAGUGUUCAAUACCACAAGUAGAAUGUUAGGUUUCAUUUUGGGGUUAUGGUACUAACAGUUUAGGAAUGAAGGAACAAAAAGGGACAAAAAACAAUCAUGUUUGUAGUUUCCGGAUAAUUACUUGUAUGUACGUUUUUGGAUCUUUUUCGCAUUAUCACAAAUGGAAGACUGGGAUUUUGUUCGGGGAUAAUUGCCCCAAACAUGCAGAAAUUAGGGGCAAAAGAAAUGGCAAAACAAACAUUUUUCUAGUUUCCAGACAAUAUCUUGUGUUCAAGUGUAUGGACCUCUCUAAAAUUGUACUACAAGGUUCAUUACCAGAAAGGAAAGACUGGGAUUUGGUUUGAUGGUUAUUUAUCCUAGAAGGAAAACAAAAUGUUAUGGGCGGGAAGAAACCUUCAGUUGCACAGUAUUGCGCAUACGAUUUAAGAUCUUCGACCACAUUUACCUUGUGUCAGAAACCUGUAUAUAACGUCAUAAAUUUGAUCACAAUCCAAAUUCAGAUAGUAUCAAGCUUUAAUAUUAUGUCCAAAUUUGCCCCAACUGUUCAGGGUUCGAUCUCUGCGGUCAGCGAAGCAUUUUUAAU